CCUACGGGCGGCAGCAGUGAGGAAUAUUGGUCAAUGGGCGAGAGCCUGAACCAGCCAAGCCGCGUGAGGGACGACGGUCCUAAGGAUUGUAAACCUCUUUUGUCGGGGCACAAAGGCGCCCACGGGUGGGCGGAUGAGUGUACCUGAAGAAAAAGCAUCGGCUCACUCCGUGCCAGCAGCCGCGGUAAUACGGAGGAUGCAAGCGUUAUCCGGAUUUAUUUGGUUUAAGGGGUGCGUAGGCGGACAGUCAAGUCAGCGGUAAAAAUACGGUGCUCAACGCCGUACAGCCGUUGAAACUGGCAGUCUUGAGUGGGCGAGAAGUAUGCGGAAGUCGUGGUGUAGCGGUGAAAUGCAUAGAUAUCACGCAGAACUCCGAUUGCGAAGGUAGCAUACCGGCGCCCUACUGACGCUGAGGCACGAAAGCGUGGGUAUCGAACAGGAUUAGAUACCCGUGUAGUC
rnacentral:rRNA from 1 species